rnacentral:rRNA from 1 species
GAACGAGACCUUAACCUGCUAAAUUGCCCGUAUUGCUUUGGCAGUACGCUGGCUUCUUAGAGGGACUAUCGGCUCAAGCCGAUGGAAGUUUGAGGCAAUAACAGGUCUGUGAUGCCCUUAGAUGUUCUGGGCCGCACGCGCGCUACACUGACGGAGCCAGCGAGUACUUCCUUGUCCGAAAGGUCCGGGUAAUCUUGUGAAACUCU